rnacentral:rRNA from 1 species
GAGUUUGAUCCUGGCUCAGAUUGAACGCUGGCGGCAGGCCUAACACAUGCAAGUCGAGCGGUAGAGAGAAGCUUGCUUCUCUUGAGAGCGGCGGACGGGUGAGUAAUGCCUAGGAAUCUGCCUGGUAGUGGGGGAUAACGCUCGGAAACGGACGCUAAUACCGCAUACGUCCUACGGGAGAAAGCAGGGGACCUUCGGGCCUUGCGCUAUCAGAUGAGCCUAGGUCGGAUUAGCUAGUUGGUGAGGUAAUGGCUCACCAAGGCGACGAUCCGUAACUGGUCUGAGAGGAUGAUACAGUCACACUGGAACUGAGACACGGUCCAGACUCCUACGGGAGGCAGCAGUGGGGAAUAUUGGACAAUGGGCGAAAGCCUGAUCCAGCCAUGCCGCGUGUGUGAAGAAGGUCUUCGGAUUGUAAAGCACUUUAAGUUGGGAGGAAGGGCAGUAAAUUAUACUUUGCUGUUUGACGUUACCGACAGAAUAAGCACCGGCUAACUCUGUGCCAGCCG